rnacentral:rRNA from 1 species
CGAACACGGAAGUUAAGCUCCUCAGCGCCGAUGGUACUGCGCGGGGGGCCGCGUGGGAGAGUAGGUCGUCGCCGAGA